CUGCAGCUCAAGUGGUGACCACUAUUAUUGGGCCUAAAACGUUCGUAGCCGGUUUGGUAAAUGCCUGGGUAAAUCGUGUAGCUUAACUAUACGAAUUCCGGGUAGACUGUCAAACUUGAGACCGGGAGAAGCUAGAGGUACUCCUGGGGUAGAGGUGAAAUUCUGUAAUCCUAGGGGGACCACCAGUGGCGAAGGCGUCUAGCUAGAACGGGUCUGACGGUGAGGAACGAAGCCCUGGGGCGCAAACCGGAUUAGAUACCCGAGUAGUCC
rnacentral:rRNA from 1 species